AGUAAGGUGGCCGAGCAGGUGGCGGAUUGUAGCUCCGAGGACAGAGGUUUGAGCCCUCUCUUUACUA
rnacentral:tRNA from 2 species